rnacentral:rRNA from 1 species
UACGUAGGGGGCAAGCGUUGUCCGGAAUUAUUGGGCGUAAAGAGCGCGUAGGCGGUCCGAUAAGUCGGCUGUGAAAGUCAGGGGCUCAACCCUUGGAAGCCGGCCGAUACUGUCGGACUAGAGUCCGGAAGAGGCGAGUGGAAUUCCCGGUGUAGCGGUGAAAUGCGCAGAUAUCGGGAGGAACACCGGUGGCGAAGGCGGGUCUCUGGGCCGAUACUGACGCUGAGGAGCGAAAGCGUGGGGAGCGAACAGG